AGCACCAACCCUAGAUUCAGGAGGACCUGAGUUCAAAUUCAGCUUCAGACACUUCCUAGCUGUGUGACCCUGCAAGUCAUGUAACCCUCAUUGCCCCACCAAAAAAAAAAAAAAAAGUGGUUGAAAUGAAAAUUUUGGUGAGAGAAUUUAAAUCUAUAAAUAUAUUGAAAACUUGGCUUUUUAGAAUGACUUAUUCUGAGCAAGAACAUCAUUCAGGGCUUCCUUGACAACAACGUAUCAGAAAAGAAGCUAAUCCGGGAGAAAGAACAUAAAAUUUGUAGGCCCUGGACCUGAGUGUAAUUGAACUUUGACCUUUCUCCCUGAUGUGCCUGUGGGGAUGUCACUUCACCUUCCUCUACCUUGGGUUCCUUCUCUAGCUCCAGCUAGAGGAUCCUAUGAACAAUGAAGAUGUCUUGAUCCCUGAGGACAAAUGAUCAACCAUCAUUACAAGAGCGCAUCACAACCUUGGACCCAGAGAACCAGACAUCAGUACUCAUCUCUGCUUCUCACUCUUUAAGUCAUCUAUGAAAAGACACCUGGAGUUUGAGCAUCAUCAAAGACAUGUCUGAUUCUGUCCCAAAACUGAAGUAUGAGGCCUUGAAAUAUCUGCUGAGAAGAAUUUCUGGGAAGAAGGAAGAAGAGCAUCUACCAUCUUGCCAGCCAUUGUGGAGGAGGGUUGUGAGCUAGUGUGAUGCUGUGGGUCCAAUCCCGGGGUAUCCCUCACGCCACACACCCCCAGUCUCUUCUGGGACCAUAAAAGGUUGCCAUGGGUGAUGGUGAUUCAAAGCUCAGAGUCCCAGAACUGAGGCCCUGGAGUUGACCCUGCCCUCCCAACCUGCCCAGCUCCAGAGACUUCGAAGACAUCUGGCCAUGGAAAUGCUCUGGCUACAGCAGGCCAUUGUCAGUCGGAAGAAGAACCACAAAACUCCACUCUGGUUGGCAUGCCACCAUUGAUCUGCCCUUGAAUUGGCUGGGUCAUCACGAAGACUUCAGGCUGCUGACAAAUUCGUCCCACAUGUUCCCUGAUGGUAAUUCAGUGCUGUGUCCACAGUCUGGUGAUCCACAGGACUGACAUCAAUGGGUGCCGAUCAAGUCUGCCUGGCGUUUUUAAUAGAGGAUUGUAGGCGAAUUUGAGACCAUGGAAGGUGAAUCUGUGACUUGAUACCAAAAAAGCUUAGGGGAAAUUCAUUCAACAAAGAUGAGAGCUUCGGUGGGACUUUAAAAAAAAAUUUGAUUGUCUCACUUCAUGCUAUGUCAUCAAAAAGGAUUUGACUCAGAAAGAUUGUGUCCUAUAUAAAUUCUGAUAUAAAUGGAAAGACAUUACAAACACAUACAUGAUCAGCUAUUAACUUAUGGUUAAUUACUAAUAAGUGAGUGUGAGGAUGAUUAGAUGGUGGUAUUUUAUUUUGUUUUUUAGAUCAUGGAACAUCUGACUAAACAUAACAUAUAUAUAACAUUGCAUUUUAGUCACAUACAAGAAGGCUUUCUCUAAAGAAAAAACCAAGCUGUCACACUCUGAAGCUGUUUAGAAAAAUCAAAGACUUCAAGUGUCAUUCAAUCAAUAAGCAUGACUUCAGUUUCUACUAUAUUAAAUGUUGGGAACACAAAGAGGGUGUUAACCCAGGAGCUAGACACUUGGUGCUCCUGUCCUGCAAUAUGCCACCCUGACA